GAUGAACGCUGGCGGCGUGCCUAAUACAUGCAAGUCGAGCGAACAGACGAGGAGCUUGCUCCUUUGACGUUAGCGGCGGACGGGUGAGUAACACGUAGGUAACCUACCUAUAAGACUGGGAUAACUUCGGGAAACCGGAGCUAAUACCGGAUAAUAUUUCGAACCGCAUGGUUCGAUAGUGAAAGAUGGCUUUGCUAUCACUUAUAGAUGGACCUGCGCCGUAUUGGCUAGUUGGUAAGGUAACGGCUUACCAAGGCAAAUAGACGUAGCCGACCUGAGAGGGUGAUCGGCCACACUGGAACUGAGCCACGGUCCAGACUCCUACGGGAGGCAGCAGUAGGGAAUCUUCCGCAAUGGGCGAAAGCCUGACGGAGCAACGCCGCGUGAGUGAUGAAGGUCUUCGGAUCGUAAAACUCUGUUAUGAGGGAAGAACAAACGUGUAAGUAACUGUGCACGUCGUGACGGUACCUAAUCAGAAAGCCACGGCUAACUACGUG
rnacentral:rRNA from 1 species